rnacentral:rRNA from 1 species
CUACGAAGGGUGCAAGCGUUACUCGGAAUUACUGGGCGUAAAGCGUGCGUAGGUGGUUGUUUAAGUCUGUCGUGAAAGCCCUGGGCUCAACCUGGGAAUGGCGAUGGAAACUGGGCGACUAGAGUGUGGCAGAGGGUAGUGGAAUUCCUGGUGUAGCAGUGAAAUGCGUAGAGAUCAGGAGGAACAUCCGUGGCGAAGGCGACUGCCUGGGCCAACACUGACACUGAGGCACGAAAGCGUGGGGAGCAAACAGGAUUAGAUACCCUGGUAGUCCACGCCCUAAACGAUGCGAACUGGAUGUUGGGUGCAAUUUGGCACGCAGUAUCGAAGCUAACGCGUUAAGUUCGCCGCCUGGGGAGUACGGUCGCAAGACUGAAACUCAAAGGAAUUGACGGGG